CUGCAUCUCGCCCGGGUCGGUAACGGCCCCUCUCGCAGUGCGGAUGAGAUGCCGGCCACCUUUCUGUCCCGCCUUGGGCUGAGCUUCUCCGCACCGGCUUCCGUCCCAAGAUGGCCGCACAGGCCCUCCUUCCGGCUACCUCUCCGCGGUCUCUCCUCCGCAGCAGGAGGAACCAGACCCGGGGCCACGGCGCACGGUGCGCACGGGACACAGACUUGGGGAAGCGCAUCUGAUGGCGCGGUGGUUAGAGAGGCGGCAGCAGCCGGACACGGCGGACACAGGACAAGCCUGCGUGUGACGCUGCUAACGGCUCCACGUAGCAGUGACGUGAGCUUUGGAAGUCAGCUUUGAGCAAUCUUUGACAACAAGGAACUCCUAAGAGCAGUGGACAGAGGUGUGAAGAAGUACAGGGAUAAACAACAGUCCAAGCAGCGUCUGCUGAUGGUACACUGAUGGAAACCUUUGGAAGGAAGUGCUGCUCCUGGAUCAGACCAUCUCUGCUCUGUUAGGACCCUCAUGGACCACCAGAUCUAUGGUCUUUCCAAGACCUGCCUUGACGUGAUCCAGUUGGCAUGAUUAAAAGGACACCUGUCUCGCUCACACUGGACCGUGACAGUACUUAGGUGUCAGAGGUGAAGCAAUGAAGGGCUCCUUCUACGCUGUGCUGCUCUGAUGAAUACAAGGAAAUGUCAAAUCACCACCAGGGCUCUGGAAUCCACCGUUCUCCAUUUUCAAAAAGCGACAGAUGUGCAGGAAGGUGUGCCACUAUGUCUGCUGGGAAGAAUAGAAUCUGUGCUGGGUCCUGCUGCUCCAGAGCUGAUGGACUAAGUAACAGAAAAACAACUUAAAUCCCAUGACAUGUUUCCUGCUGCUUGAAGAGAGGGGACCCCUACCUGCUCCCGGCCUCAGUGUCAGUAACAAACGAUCACCAUCUUUUCCUGGGUUUCUAUGUGCAGAAGAUGAUAUCAUCCCAGAGACAAAUGGCUUAGAACAAAGUUCAUAUCAUAAGAAUUGAGACGCUUCUGGGAACAUCCUGGAGGUUCGCAGUCAUUUGCGAUAUUUAGCGGUGAUUGCCAGUUCCAGACUGUUAUGAUGUACUUCAGUUGGAUACAGAUUUUUACGAAGGCUUCACGACUGCACCUUCAUGACUUGGUGUGGCAAAAAUUCUGAUAUCCCCAAUUGUGAAUUUAAAAAAGUCUUGUUGAGAGGGACUGACUAUGGUUUCUGAACACUGUAAGGGUCAUUCUCUGUGACCAGAUAGAUGGUACAGAUGCUCUCCCUUGCAUGGAUACCAGUCUUCCCUGGUGUAGACAGAUCUAGAAAUGGAAACCACUGGGAGGCCACCAACCUCCCCAUGAUUUGCCACAAUAGUGAGCCUGGGA